rnacentral:rRNA from 1 species
GCCCGCUCAGAAACUACAAAGGAAGUUGACGGGGGCCCGCACAAGCGGUGGAGUAUGUGGUUUAAUUCGGUGCAACGCGAAGAACCUUACCUGGUCUUGACAUCCCGGAGACCCUUAGGAAACUAGGGGUGCUUCCAUCUGGAAGAAUCUGGAGACAGGUGCUGCAUGGCUGUCGUCAGCUCGUGUCGUGAGAUGUUGGGUUAAGUCCCGCAACGAGCGCAACCCUUGCCUUUAGUUGCCAGCAGUUCGGCUGGGCACUCUAAAGGGACUGCCGGUGUUAAACCGGAGGAAGGUGGGGAUGACGUCAAGUCCUCAUGGCCUUUAUGACCAGGGCUACACACGUACUACAAUGGCCGAUACAAAGGGCAGCGACACUGCGAGGUGAAGCCAAUCCCGUAAAAUCGGUCUCAGUCCGGAUUGGGGUCUGCAACUCGACUCCAUGAAGUUGGAAUCGCUAGUAAUCGUGGAUCAGCAUGCCACGGUGAAUACGUUCCCGGGCCUU